UUCUGUACUUAGGACAGAGCAAUCCAUGCACCAGAGGAGACUUGAGCAAACUCACAACUGGAAUGUGUCAACCAGGAGACCUCACAGGAAGAGGAGAGAGAGAGAGAGAGAGAGAGAGAGAGAGAGAGAUUGAAAUCCGAGUCUCCAUUGCACUCAGACUUGGGAUCCACUUCAGCUGAACUGUAUGACGGAUCCUUAAUAAACCUUCUGCUGAGAUGUCGCUCAAAGUCAAGGGCCUUGCGCUAGAGGUCACGACACGUCUGCCGGGGCAUCGAAGCGUGAAAAGGAGGACGGACGAGUAUCCAGAUGUUGUCCAAACACAGAACACAGCUGGAUCGAAAUCCUUCUUCAGGAUCGGCAGUACAGGCUACAACAGAAGAUGUACAACAUCGCGACAUGGAGCGGUCAUACGAAUAAACGUAAAUAAUCGAAAUGUUCUGUAUACACAGCCUUUAAACGCAAAGUCCCUGGCUACAUUCCACAGACACACAAACACACACACAAACACACAGUGUCAAAAACCUGGGAAGCCUGGAUAAGGCACGGAAACAUGCUUUAUAUUCGAUCUUCGAUGCUUAAAGCACCAA